rnacentral:rRNA from 1 species
CAGAUUGAACGCUGGCGGCAUGCCUUACACAUGCAAGUCGAACGGUAGAGUAGCAAUACUUGAGAGUGGCGAACGGGUGAGUAAUAUAUCGGAACGUGCCCAGUCGUGGGGGAUAACGUAGAGAAAUUUACGCUAAUACCGCAUACGAUCUAAGGAUGAAAGCGGGGGAUCGCAAGACCUCGCGCGAUUGGAGCGGCUGAUAUCAGAUUAGGUUGUUGGUGAGGUAAAAGCUCACCAAGCCGACGAUCUGUAGCUGGUUUGAGAGAACGACCAGCCACACUGGGACUGAGACACGGCCCAGACUCCGUACGGGAGGCAGCAGGUGGGGUAAUUUUGGACAAGUGGGCGAAA